CCUCAGAUCAAGAAUGAAAACAAUUAUAUUUCCAUACAGUUACCGAAAGGAGUCUAAACAUUGUGAUGUAGCAAUAGGCAUGCUGCUUUAUGCAUCCGACGACACAGUUUGUGUCUGGCAUAUAUUCAAAAUCUUGAGGAGUGUGUAGAUAUCUGCAAAAUGUUAACAGAUAUAAAAAUAUCGGAGGUGUCUGUUGUUGAGACAGUGACCGCCACCGCUAAAGCUACAGACCUUCCUUGCCGAGACAGGCUGAACGUUUGAAGGAAGGCAGCCGUCCCUACGCCGAACGAGAAACAGGUUCUCACCGGGAACUAAAAGUGCCUGCACCUUGACCUUGGACGUCCCAGCCUCCAGAAUGUUGGAACCCAACUGCAAUGGCGCCCCAGCCUGGACCACCCUGCUGAUGCCAAUUCCCGACAACGGCCAAGCGACACGAGAAGGGAAGAUGGAAUCCUGAAUGGCCAUAUGGGGGGAGCUGCCUUGCCAAACGAAACUAUUAUCACUGAAACUGUUCUUUCAGAGACUGGGUGGCCCAUAAAAAACCAGCAUCCAUUUCUCACAGUUCCAGAGGCGGCAAGUUCAAGAUCAUGGCUCUGGCAGAUUAGGUGUCUGCAAGCUGCCGUGUGCGAGACUGAGUGCAGCCUUCAACUGACAGCACCGGGGAGGAGAAACGGAACCCUGAAAACAGCCACGUAAGCUUGAGCUUGGAAGUGGAUCCUAACCCCAGGAGAGACCUGUGGCCCUCACCGACACCCAGUCCGUAGCUUUUGAGGGAUGCUGAGCAGAGAACCCAGCCAAGUGGAGGUUCUCCUGAUCAGAAGAGACGAUGCUGAAGGGGACAUGGUGUUGCUGGGACAUCACUGAGCCCUGACAAUCAAGUUAAAAGGACAUAUAAAUAUUCCCAUCUCACUGAGGAAGAGGCAGAGAUCAGAGAAGCAACUUCGAACCAAGUGUCCAAGUCCGUGCUGAGCAAUCAUCUUCAAGGGCCCUGAGCCACCAGCCUUGUAAGAAGCCUGGCCAAAUUGCAGCCGCCAUAUUGAAGAGACCACACAGAGACAGAGAUCACUGAGCAGCCCAGCUGGCAGCUGUUGAGUCUCCCAGCCUGGGCAAGGACCUAUGAGGGAGGGAGUUUUGAGUCGAGUCCUCCCGUGGGCACUGACUGUAAUGGUGUGAGAGACCCAGCACCAGAGCCACUUAACUGAGCCCAGUUGACCCUCGAGCCUGCCACACAUAAGAGUAUAUGAUUGUGGGGCGCCUGGGUGGCUCUGUCAGUUAACCAUCCAAUUCCUCAUUUCAGCUCAGGUCAUGAUCUCAUGGU